GCAGCGAAAGCGAUAAACACACCGCCUGGGGAGUACGACCGCAAGGUUAAAACUCAAAUGAAUUGACGGGGACCCGCACAAGUAGUGGAGCAUGUGGUUUAAUUCGAAGAUACGCGCAGAACCUUACCAACACUUGACAUGUUCGUCGCGACUUUAAGAGAUUAAAGUUUUCGGUUCGGCCGGACGAAACACAGGUGCUGCAUGGCUGUCGUCAGCUCGUGUCGUGAGAUGUUGGGUUAAGUCCCGCAACGAGCGCAACCCUCACUUUUAGUUGCCAUCAUUAAGUUGGGCACUCUGAAAGAACUGCCAGUGAUAAGCUGGAGGAAGGUGGGGAUGACGUCAAGUCCUCAUGGCCCUUACGUGUUGGGCUACACACGUGCUACAAUGGUAUCUACAACAGGAAGCAAGACGGCGACGUCAAGCAAAUCCUUAAAAGAUACCUCAGUUCGGAUUGCACUCUGCAACUCGAGUGCAUGAAGCUGGAAUUACUAGUAAUCGUGGAUCAGCGUGCCACGGUGAAUGCGUUCCCGGGUCUUGUACACACCGCCCGUCACACCAUGGGAGUUGGUUCUACCUUAAGGCAAGGUUUAAAAUCCUUGACCACGGUAUAGUCAGCGACUGGGGUGAAGUCGUAACAAGGUAACCGUAA
rnacentral:rRNA from 1 species